AUCUUUGUGGUUCCUAAGUGUGAUGACUGGGUUUUCAUACUCAUGUGAGAUAUGCCUCCCUAAGCUUCGUUAUGACAUCAGCACAUUAUCUGUCUGACG
ensembl:snoRNA